UUACGACCAUAUCACGUUGAAAUACCGGUUCUCGUACGAUCACCGAAGUUAAACAACGACGAGCCUGGUCAGUUUCCUGAUAGGUGAGCACUUGGGAAUAGCAAGUGCUGUAA